GGGAUGAGCUGUGGAUAGGGGUGAAAGGCCAAUCAAACUUCGUGAUAGCUGGUUCUCUCCGAAAUGCAUUUAGGUGCAGCGUCGUAUUAUAGCUUGGUGGAGGUAGAGCGACUGGUUGGUUGAGCGGGACUACAAUCUUAGCAAUGUCAGCCAAACUCCGAAUGCCAGUGAAGUCAGAAUACGGCAGUGAGACUGCGGGGGAUAAGCUCCGUGGGUCGAGAGGGAAACAGCCCAGAUCGCCGGCUAAGGUCCCCAAGUCGUGGCUAAGUGGGAAAGGAUGUGGGACUCCCAAAACAACCAGGAGGUUGGCUUAGAAGCAGCCAUCCUUGAAAGAGUGCGUAAUAGCUCACUGGUCAAGUGAUUCCGCGCCGACAAUGUAACGGGGCUCAAGCACACCGCCGAAGUCGUGGAAUUCGUAUUAUUGGUAGGCCUUCGUGGUCCAGCCGUACGGAUUGGUAGGAGAGCGUCGUGUGGCGAGUGAAGCGGCGGUGUAAACCAGCCGUGGACGCCACACGAGUGAGAAUGCAGGCAUGAGUAGCGAAAGACGGGUGAGAAACCCGUCCGCCGGAUGACUAAGGGUUCCAGGGUCAAGCUAAUCUGCCCUGGGUAAGUCGGGACCUAAGGCGAGGCCGAAAGGCGUAGUCGAUGGACAACA
rnacentral:rRNA from 1 species